rnacentral:rRNA from 1 species
AUCAUUGACGCGUAGAAGACCCCGCAAGGGGGAUUCUGUCACACCCUUUGUCAACUUAUAAACUAUCGUUGCCUCGGCGUAAGGCCGGGGGAGGUCACACUCCCCCCCGCCCCCUCUGAGGGGGCGGAGCAGGCCCGCCGGCGGCCCUAUAAACUCUUGUUUUUACAGUGUCACCUCUGAGUAUAAACACAAAUGAAUCAAAACUUUCAACAACGGAUCUCUUGGUUCUGGCAUCGAUGAAGAACGCAGCGAAAUGCGAUAAGUAAUGUGAAUUGCAGAAUUCAGUGAAUCAUCGAAUCUUUGAACGCACAUUGCGCCCGGUGGUAUUCCACCGGGCAUGCCUGUUCGAGCGUCAUUACAACCCUCAAGCUCUGCUUGGUGUUGGGGCGCUGCCUCCCUCUAGCGGUGGCAGGCCCCUAAAUCUAGUGGCGAGCUCGCCAGGACUCCGAGCGCAGUAGUUUUACCACCUCGCUUAGGAAGGACUGGCGGUGCCCUGCCGUAAAACCCCCCACUAUAUCUAAAAGGUUGACCUCGGAUCAGGUAGGAAUACCCG